rnacentral:hammerhead_ribozyme from 1 species
AUUUCACGAGUCCCAAAUAGGACGAAACGCGAGUCCUGGAU